rnacentral:rRNA from 1 species
UACGAAGGGGGCUAGCGUUGCUCGGAAUGACUGGGCGUAAAGGGCGCGUAGGCGGUUUGUACAGUCAGAUGUGAAAUUCCCGGGCUCAACCUGGGGGCUGCAUUUGAUACGUGCGGACUUGAGUGGGGAAGAGGGUCGUGGAAUUCCCAGUGUAGAGGUGAAAUUCGUAGAUAUUGGGAAGAACACCGGUGGCGAAGGCGGCGACCUGGUCCGAUACUGACGCUGAGGCGCGAAAGCGUGGGGAGCAAACAGG